GGUGCACCUCAGGGGCCGAGCAGGAACCAGUCCUCUGAGUUGGGCGAGCGGAGCAGAGAAGGAGGGAGCCAUUCAUCAGGGAGCCAUUCUGGGCUCCAACCUGGGACCCAGCAACCAUGAACAAGGAAGAGAAAGAGAAAAAGGUGCCACCAGACUUCUGGAAACAUAAGUGGCCAUGAUCUUAUGGCCUGUCAUCACUGGACAGUGGCUGCAACCCCAUGGCUGGACAAAGGCCUCCAGCUUUCUCCCUGGCUCUCCAGUUUCCUCCACAUGGCAGUCAAGGGAAUCCUGCUCAAAGAAGCCACAUCACCGUCUUGCACACAAACCUUCUGUGGCUCCCCAGUACCCUGAGGAUAAACCCCAUGCACAUUGCUUUGGACCAUGCAGGGGCAGAAGCCCAACAGUGGUGGCUGACAGCAAGGACCCUCCGAGCAGCAGUCUGCAAACUGGCUGGCGGCGUAUGACUCUGGACAAGUACCAGAAACUCCUUGGGUCUCAAGUCUUUUUAUCAGUAAAAUGGACCUAACAGUCAUAGCUACCCAUUGUACUGGCAGAGAUCAGGGCUAAGGGAGGAAAUGUAGGGAAAUGUUCAGAAUGUGCAUGGUACAUGGAACGCCCUCAGUAUGGGUGACUUGCUAUAAUAGUAAUUUCUGCCAGGCCCUGUAGGGGCUGUCUACCACCAAGGCCCACAUCAUCUCCCUCCACCUGUGACACCCUAGCACUCCAGCCAUCUGACUUGCCUUGCUCUCCACACCCUCUUGCAUGUCCUCCUUUAUCCCUUCCUCCAUUUCCCUCCUCCCUAUCUUUCAUUCCCUGGCUGUAAACUGGGCAUCUCUGACUCCUAUUGUCCUGGGGCUUCCCCUCCCCCACAGAUCCUACCAUGCCUGGUGGUGAGUCUCUCCCCCCAUUCAGAUCUCUGAUUCCAGACCCCUUACAGCUUAAUCCUUGGGGCUGGUAGGUA
ensembl:lncRNA